UGUCACUGAGGGGUCUUUUCAUUGAUUUUGGUAAGUUGCCUGGAUCAUAAGAUCAGCAACUUAAGUGGGAGGUGUUGUGUUUUCUGUGGAGGUCUACCAUUUGUGUAGUCUUGUUAUUUCUUAUUUACUUAUUUAAGUUAUUGAUAAACGUCUGAGGCUCGGCAGCCCAAUGGUGUAGUGCCUCUUUAAGAGAACAGUGUGCUGUGGGUCCAUGUGACCGGUGUUCGCCCAAUAAAAAGGUGGCGCAAGAGUUGUAUUAUUGGUACAUAACUUUGACCCGGUGUGCAGCCACUUGAUUUAUUACCUGCUUUCCCUUUGUUGAAAAAUAAACAAACAAAAGUGGAAUACCGAGUAAUAUUCUUUGUACACCGGGUUACCCCUUCCGUGGGGAGAAAACGGAACAAGGAUGCUUACAACGGUUUUGACCAACGGCCUGGCCUGCAAGUUCAAUUGGGCAGGAAAAACCUGCACACAAAGGGAUGCCAAGCAGCCCUUCAAAGACACAGCCCUGCAAGACUGCAUGUUUGUUGCUUCUCGGCAGUGUGACCGCAAACUCACACAGCAGGCCUUCAGCGACAUUGUGAAAAAUUGGCUACGUUACGCCCCUUGGCGUGCAGGAGGCAUCAAGAAAAAUGUCCUCUUCAUGUGGGCUAUGGCCCUUGUUGGUCUGUGAUUACACAUGUGAUUACACUAAUUCGCCUUUUCUUGUUGGUAUCUUUUGUGGUGAAGGCAAGCCAAAGAUUCUUUCAGUACCUUCAACAAUUUGAUUAUUUAAUUU